AGAUUGAACGCUGGCGGCAUGCUUUACACAUGCAAGUCGAACGGCAGCACGGGGGCAACCCUGGUGGCGAGUGGUGAACGGGUGAGUAAUGCGUAGGAAUCUACCCACGAGUGGGGGGAUAGCCCGGAGAAAUCCGGAUUAAUACCGCAUAUGCCCUACGGGGUAAAGCGGGGGAUCGUAAGACCUCGCGCUGGUGGAUGAGCCUACGUCCGAUUAGUUAGUUGGUGGGGUAAAGCCUACCAAGGCUACGAUCGGUAGCUGGUCUAAGAGGACGACCAGCCACACUGGGACUGAGACACGGCCCAGACUCCUACGGGCGGCAGCCUGAGC
rnacentral:rRNA from 1 species